CUCUGAGGAAGCACAGUUCCCGCUCAGCCCAGUCAAAACUGUUCGCUGCUCUGGCACCCCAAUGGUGGAACAAGCUCCUAUUGCUCAGUUUGGCUGGGCGGCCAGCUCUAGGAAGAGUCUCGGUGGUUCCAAACUUCUUCCAUUUAAGAAUGAUGGAGGCCAAUGUGUUCUUGGGGACCUUCAAUGUUGCAGACAUUUUUUGGUACCCUUCUCCAGAUCUGUGCCUUGACACAAUCCUGUCUCGGAGCUCAACAGACAAUUCCUUUGAUCUCAUGGUUUGGGUUCUGCUCUGACAUGCACUGUCAACUAUGGGACCUUAUAUAGACAGGUGUGUGCCUUUCCAAAUCAUGUCCAAUCAAUUGAAUUUACCACAGGUGGACUCUAAUCAAGUUGUACAAACAUCUCAAGGAUGAUCAAUGGAAACAGGAUGCACCUGAGCUCAAUUUCGAGUCUCAUAGCAAAGGGUCUGAAUACUUAUGUAAAUAAGGGUUAGGACUGUAACCACCAGAGGACUUGAAAAUGAGCUGGGGCAGAGAGGAUCACCAAAACUAUAGGUAUUUUGGUUUCAUGUGUAGGCAUACUGUGUAAUAAAAUAGAUUAUUGUGUACUAAAAACAUGAAUGUGUUUUUGCAGAGCAUACAACCAUGCCAACAACCAUCCUUGGAGAUCAGUGGACAAAGGGCUGGACAACAGGCCGCACCGAAAAAACGCAUGGUUCCACAGAAUACCAACUGGAAUGAAUCCUGAGGCAAAUGUGGCUUCUUCAUCAACAUCUUUAAGCUUUCGUUAAUAAACUAAUGAUACAAAUACUGUCUCCAGCUUUGAUCCAUCUGGGUUGGCGACCCCCCUUGGGUUGUGCCGUGGCGGAGAUCUUUGUGGGCUAUAGUCGGCCUUGUCUCAGGAUGGUAAGUUGAUGGUUGAAGAUAUCCCUCUAGUGGUGUGGGGGCUGUGCUUUGGCAAAGUGGGUGGGAUUAUAUCCUGCCUGUUUGGCCCUAUCCGGGGGUAUCAUCGGAUGGGGCCACAGUGUCUCCUGACCCCUCCUGUCUCAGCCUCCAGUAUUUAUGCUGCAGUAGUUUAUGUGUCGGGGGGCUAGGGUCAGUCUGUUAUAUCUGGAGUAUUUCUCCUGUCUUAUCUGGUGUCCUGUGUGAAUUUAAGUAUGCUCUCUCUAAUUCUCUUUUUCUCUCUUUCUUUCUCUCUCUCGGAGGACCUGAGCCCUAGGACAAUGCCUCAGGACUACCUGGCAUGAUGAAUCCUUGUUGUCCCCAGUCUACCUGGCCAUGCAGCUGCUCCAGUGUCAGCUGUUUUGUCUGCGGCUAUGGAACCCUGACCUGUUCACUGUGAUUACUAUUAUUUGGUAAUUUAUGAACAUUUCAACAUCUUGGCCAUGUUCUGUUAUAAUCUCCACCCGGCACAGCCAGAAGAGGACUGGCCACCCCUCAUAGCCUGGUUCCUCUCUAGGUUUCUUCCUAGGUUUUGGCCUUUCUAGGGAGUUUUUCCUAGCCACCAUGCUUCUACACCUGCAUUGCUUGCUGUUUGGGGUUUUAGGCUGGGUUUCUGUACAACACUUUGAUAUGCCAGCUGAUGUAAGAAGGGCUAUAUAAAUACAUUUGAUUUGAUGCCUGGGCCUUCAGGACGCAAAGUUCUUUGUUUGUCAGACGAGUCAUUGGGUCGAAACUACAGAACAGUACAAAACAAGAGAACACACAUGGUUAAUGUUCUGAAGAAAAAAAAUAUAUUUACACUGCCGGUCAAAAGUUUUAGAACACCUACUCAUUCAAUGGUUUUUCUUUAUUUUUACUAUUUUCUACAUUGUAGAAUAAUACUGAAGACAUCAAAACUAUGAAGUAACACAUAUGGAAUCAUGUAGUAUCCAAAAAAGUGUUAAACAAAUCAGCAUAUAAAAUGUCUUACAGAGCCUUUCCAUAAGUCAACUCAAGUUUCUUCAACUGUCUUCUGACUGUGAUUAGAGUGAUGUGGAUGUUGUGCUGUGAUGCCAGCAGAUUCCAGACUGGAUUUGCCAAAUGCCCAUCCUCUUCAACCAUCAGUGAGUCGAUGGCUUGAAUAGUCUCGCUAGAAAUUGUAAUGAAAAGCACUAUACAAAGUAAAUGUAUUAUUUAUUAUGGUCUGACAUGGCUGCAGAAAUGUUACAAUUUUGUAAUGCGUUUUGUUUGGUAAAUUGUUUUGUAAAUAUUAAUUCACAUUUGUGGUGCCAC
rnacentral:lncRNA from 1 species